rnacentral:rRNA from 1 species
UACGGAGGGGGCUAGCGUUGUUCGGAAUUACUGGGCGUAAAGCGCACGUAGGCGGCUUUGUAAGUUAGAGGUGAAAGCCCGGGGCUCAACUCCGGAAUUGCCUUUAAGACUGCAUCGCUAGAAUUGUGGAGAGGUAAGUGGAAUUCCUGGUGUAGCGGUGAAAUGCGCAGAUAUCAGGAGGAACACCUAUUGCGAAGGCAGCUCGCUGGGACGUAACUGACGCUGAGACGCGAAAGCGUGGGGAGCAAACAGG